CUCUGGUUGGAGAUUCUUCCUUUGUGAAGUCUUCUCAGUGAGCCUAGGUCUUUGGAGAUGGGAAUGCCUCAGGAAUGUAACCUUGAUGUGGAUGAUGUGGAUGCUGUUUUCAAAAGGGAGAUCUUCAAGACCUCUCUUACCACAGAAAAAAGAAUCUUGUGCUUCACAAUUAUGCCUUAUUCAUCUCAUCACUUUUUGAUAGUACAUUCAUGAAGAACUUUUUUCAAGGAUGAUGUAUGUGAAGAAUACAACUAGAUCGAAAAUCUGAAUUCCUUCAGAACUUGCAAGAACUGCAGCCAUUUCUCUUGUACCAGACACUGAUGUAUUAGUUUUGCAGAAACAAGAUAAAAUAGUCCAGUAGUAUGUUUUUGUUGUCCUCUUUUUAAAUGUUUUAAUAAGUUUUACUUAUAUGCAUUACUUUUGGAGCAGCCUUCAUUAAUGCCUCCUAUUUUAUUAUCUAGGCCUGUAAUGUCUGAGGCAGGUGGUGAUGGUUUGGUAGUGGACAUUGGAGUAUUGGUGGGAACAUUCUUUACAUGUUGUGGCUGUGUGACAGAUAGCAGCGGAGGGGUAGUCUGAUAAUGUGGAGUCUGACGUGGAAGCGUGUAUGGGGCAAAGGUGUGCCUUUGAAUUUCUCCAUGCCAGGAAACACUGACAUUCAUUGAUGCUCACUGAAAGAUUGUAGACACCAAACAGUAGAUGUUAGUGCAGUGAGACAG